rnacentral:rRNA from 1 species
UACGGGGGGGGCAAGCGUUGUUCGGAAUUACUGGGCGUAAAGGGCUCGUAGGUGGCCAACUAAGUCAGACGUGAAAUCCCUCGGCUUAACCGGGGAACUGCGUCUGAUACUGGAUGGCUUGAAUCCGGGAGAGGGAUGCAGAAUUCCAGGUGUAGCGGUGAAAUGCGUAGAUAUCUGGAGGAAUACCGGUGGCGAAGGCGGCAUCCUGGACCGGCAUUGACGCUGAUGAGCGAAAGCUAGGGGAGCAAACGGGG